rnacentral:tRNA from 1 species
GACCUUGUGGCACAACAGUAUCGCGUCGGACUUCAGAUCAGAAGGUUGCGUGUUCAGGUCACGUCGGGGUCA